rnacentral:rRNA from 1 species
AUUGAACGCUGGCGGCAGGCCUAACACAUGCAAGUCGAACGAGGGGCGGACGGGUGAGUAAUGUCUGGGAAACUGCCUGCUGGAGGGGGAUAACUACUGGAAACGGUAGCUAAUACAGCAUACCAUCGGAUGUACCCAGAUGGGAUUAGCUAGUCGGUGGGGUAAAGGCGCACCUAGGCGACGAUCCCUAGCUGGUCUGAGAGGAUGACCGGCCACACUGGAACUGAGACACGGUCCAGACUCCUAAGGGAGGCAGCGGUGGGGAAUAUUGCCCAAUUGGCGCAAGCCGGAUGCAGCAAUGCCGCGUGUGUGAAGAAGGCCGUCGGGUUGUAAAGUACUUUCAGCGGGGAGGCGUUACCCGCAGAGGAAGCACCGGCUAACUCCGUGCCAGCAGCCGCGGUAAUUC